GCACUGCGAGAGCUGGCACCGAGCUCUCAGCGGUACGAGCCGUCUGCUGGUCGCUCAGUGCUGCCUGCUUGGAAAUGGGAGCAGACAAAGGUCCAGACCAUGGCAUUGUGACAUACAUCUCAGCUUCAAGGCCAGAUCACUGCAGUGUGCCCCCAAACCCACAUGGCUGGGGCUGCUGCAGCGGGAGGAGAAGCUGGUGAACCCUGCACUUGGCAAAUGGCACUAGCAGGAGCUGUUGGAGCGCAGGAAGGGAACGGUUCCUGGCAGAGGGACAGCACUGCGAGGAGGCCGACGCGUUUCCAGGGCCAGGAGAGAACGUAUGUGAGAAGGGGACGUGGGGGGAAUGGGGCCGACGGCCUCACUGGGGCACGCGGCCUGCAUGGGGAUGGGGCUGUGGGACACGCGAUGCACACACAAACAGACGGCUAUAGGUGUGAGCACACACACACACACGUAUUGCUGCCUACCGACGCCGAGGACGUAAGAUGCAGUUUAUGGGCCCAGCGCAACCCGCUCCUAUAAAUAAUACAUUCCGAUCACCGUGGCCUCAAAAUGUCAAUACCGCGCAGCCCCGCACAUCUGCAUAUCUCGAACUGUCUCAACUUGAAGCAUGUCAGCUAUGUGCUCCUGUUUGUACUUUAACUUCAUCUCAGCUCCGGCCGAGCCCCGCGCCGCCCCCCGCGCGGCUCCGUCACGCAGCGAUCAGCGCCGUGCCCGGGGCCGCGGGGUUCACUGCGGGACGGGGCGCGGGGGCCGAACGCAGCGCGGGGUUCCCCGCGGAACACGGCCGGGCCGAUCCCCCUCUCCGAUGCGCCCCGCGGCGCCCUCCGCCUCCCCCGCGCGGCCGCCGCCAGGGGGCGCUGCGGCUCCAGGGAG